GUGAUGGGUUUACUGAAGCUGCCCCAUGAGCUGGUGUGGUGCAGGCCUCACAUCCCAGGAGGGAAAAGCCCCCAGCAUUGGGCUGGUAGUGUCCUCUCGCCAGGAGCAAACCAGAUCAAGGCAAGGUCCAAAUUUGCCCAAAGGACAGCUCUUUUCUGCCACACAUUGGCCUAAGGCCUGGGUGAGCUUGGGUCUAGCAGCUCACCUGGAGGGCACGUGGUGGCUGCUUGUGGACAAAACUGAGUGAAAGUUGAAAGUCAAACCCUGACAGUGAAACUCCUGCUACUCCCGUCUGACUUGCGGUUUAUGAGUGGCCCAGUGUCCCAUCAUGCCCUUUUCAGUCCAGCUCAAAAUAGCACAGGCAAGUCUGCUAAUAGUUUUGAUAACAGCAAUUUUCAAAUCCUCAACCACAAUACAGUCUGAGGGCCUGAUCCAGAGAUAAUUGAAGUGUUUCCCUGUAUUGAUUCCAGGCCUAAGAUGGCAGAGCAAGACAGGGAAAAACAAGCUCCACAGCAACGAACAGAAACGUGCUGGGAAAUGAAUCCUGAAGGCAGCUCGGCCUGUGGCGCCGGUAGCGUUUCACUGCCGCUGACACUGUAGCCAAGACCAGGAGUUAUGAGAAGAAACGUGGGCCUACAGCUGUGUCCUUUUCCUGUCAGAGGCACCUGCUGAGCUGAUCAGCUCUGCCAUCUGAUGAGCGCUCUGCAGCGACAGGAGGAGCAGAUGAAUUAAAGGCUUUGUCUGCUGCUUGUUCGAUUGUUCUUACUCUCUUCAGCAUUCUACAACUCCACCAGGGACAAGCCAACGUGAGUCCAGCUCAGGUCUCCCCAGCCACAUUUGACUCGUCAACAAUUGCCCAGAAGCAACCCAUGUGACCCUCCCUAGAUUGUAUAUUCCAUUAGUAUAAAUUAUUAAACUGAAAUAUUUUACAAGGGGCUACAGACCUAUUCUAAAUUAAUCCUUUUAUUCCAUUAUGAGGCAAUAAACCUUUACAUUUCUG